rnacentral:rRNA from 1 species
AAACCCCCUCGCCGAAAGACUAAGGUUUCCUGAUCAACGCUAAUCGGAUCAGGGUCAGUCGGGUCCUAAGGCUCAGCCGAACGGCGAUGCCGAUGGCAGAAACGGUUAAUAUUCCGUUACUACCUUCAGGAGUGACGUGGAGACGCAGUAGUGACAGUGCCGCCAUCUGACGGAAUAGAUGGUUGAAGGGUGUAGGAGUCGAUCAUGGCAGGCAAAUCCACCAUGAGAUCCGAACCUGAUAGUAUGCCGCGUCCUUCGGGACAAGGCAAUAGUGCGCGUAAGCAUGCUGCCGAGAAAAUCCGCUAAACUUAAUCCUGGAGGUACCCGUACCGCAAACGGACACACGUAGUCGGGAUGAAUAUUCUAAGGCGCUUGAGUGAUUCACGGUUAAGGAACUAGGCAAACUGACCCUGUAACUUCGGGAUAAAGGGUCCCUACCCUUUUAUGGGAGGGCGCAGAGAAUCGGUCCAGGCAACUGUUUAACAAAAACACAGGGCUGUGCCAAAUCGAAAGAUCCAGUAUACAGCCUGACACCUGCCCGGUGCUGGAAGGUUAAGAGGAGAUGUCAUCGAUAAGAGAAGCGUUGAAUUGAAGCCCCAGUAAACGGCGGCCGUAACUAUAACGGUCCUAAGGUAGCGAAAUUCCUUGUCGGGUAAGUUCCGACCUGCACGAAUGGUGUAAUGAUCCGGACGCUGUCUCAACCAUGAGCUCAGUGAAAUUGUAGUAUCGGUGAAGAUGCCGAUUACCCGCGAUGGGACGAAAAGACCCCGUGAACCUUUACUAUAGCUUAUCAUUGAAUCUGGGCACGUGAUGUGUAGGAUAGGUCGGAGGCUUUGAAGCAGGUACGCCAGUAUUUGUGGAGCCGCUGUUGAAAUACGACCCUUUAUUUGUUUGGAUUCUAACCCGUGGAACGGGGACAUUGAUUGGUGGGUAGUUUGACUGGGGUGGUCGCCUCCAAAAGCGUAACGGAGGCUUCUAAAGGUGCCCUCCGGCCGAUUGGUAACCGGCCUUAGAGUGUAAUGGCAUAAGGGCGCUUGACUGGGAGACUGACAAGUCGAUCAGGUAGGAAACUAGAGCAUAGUGAUCCGGUGUUUCCGUAUGGAAGGGACAUCGCUCAAAGGAUAAAAGGUACUCCGGGGAUAACAGGCUGAUCCCUCCCAAGAGCUCAUAUCGACGGAGUGGUUUGGCACCUCGAUGUCGGCUCGUCACAUCCUGGGGCUGGAGAAGGUCCCAAG